rnacentral:snRNA from 1 species
GAACUUGUCCUGCAAACACG